rnacentral:rRNA from 1 species
UACGGGGGGGGCAAGCGUUGUUCGGAAUUACUGGGCGUAAAGGGCGCGUAGGCGGCCUGCUAAGUCGGACGUGAAAUCCCUCGGCUCAACCGGGGAACUGCGUCCGAUACUGGCGAGGCUUGAAUCCGGGAGAGGGAUGUGGAAUUCCAGGUGUAGCGGUGAAAUGCGUAGAUAUCUGGAAGAACACCGGUGGCGAAGGCGGCCUUCUGGACGAUGACUGACGCUGAGACGCGAAAGCGUGGGGAGCAAACAGG